CCAACGUCUUCCCCAGGGAAAAUGAGGCACUGAAGAAGCUUCGAGAGGCAACCAUGUCCCAUGAACGAUAACAGCAAUCGAUCUAAAUAGAGAAACCUUCGAUAAUAUUGGGCUUCCAUCCAUGAAGGAGGCAGGACUGGAUCACAAGAUCGACUUCCUUGAAGGAGAGGCACUCCCUCUUCUGGAUAAGCUCUUGGAAGAGGGAGAAGAAUGCACCUAUGAUUUUGCAUUCGUGGAUGCGGAUAAGAAAAACUAUAACCAUUACCAUAAGCGCCCAAUGAAGCUGGUGAGAGUUGGUGGCCUGAUUGCAUACGACAACACGCUUUGGCACGGUUCUGUGGCUGAACCGGAAACGCUCACCAUAUCGAAACCCGGAGAAGACCCUCACGAAAACUUCAUUGAUCAAGUGCGAAGGCUUCAACCUCACAGGUUUGUACCGGCGACGGUGUCACCCUGUGCCGGCGCCUUUCUUGACUU